GAGACCUAGGCAUGAUUAGAGAGUUGGGACUUUCAGCCCCAUCCUGUAGUCUCCUGGGAGGGGAGAAAGGCUGAAGGUAGAGUUGACACCUAUGGGCAUUAAUGUAAUCAAUCAUGCCUAUGUAAUGAAGCCUCCAUAAAAACCCAAAACGACUGGGUUUGGGGAGCUUCCACAUAGGUGAACACAUGGAGGUGCCUGGAGGAGACAGAGAGGACAUGAAAUUGCUUCAUGUGGGACGGGGUUUCACUCUUGUUGCACAGGCUGGAGUGCAAUGGUGUGAUCUCAGGCUACCGCAACCUCCGCCUCCCUGGUUCAAGCGAUUCUCCUGCGUCAGCCUCCGGAGUAGCUGGGAUUACAAGCAUGUGCCACCACGCCCAGCUAAUUUUGUAGUUUUGGUAGAGACAGGGUUUCCCCAUGUUGGUCAGGCUGGUCUCGAACUCCUGACCUCAGGUGAUCCUCCCACCUUGGCCUCCCAAAGUGCUGGGAUUACAGGUGUGAGCCACC
rnacentral:lncRNA from 1 species